rnacentral:rRNA from 1 species
AGAGUUUGAUCCUGGCUCAGAAUGAACGCUGGCGGCGUGCUUAACACAUGCAAGUCGAACGAGAAAGUACCUUCGGGUGCGAGUAGAGUGGCGCACGGGUGAGUAACACGUGGGUAAUCUGCCCUUAAGUUUGGGAUAACCUGUCGAAAGGUGGGCUAAUACCGGAUAAUAUCCAUAAUUGAUAGGAUUGUGGAUCAAAGAUUUAUCGCUUAAGGAUGAGCCCGCGGCCCAUUAGCUUGUUGGUGGGGUAAUGGCCUACCAAGGCUACGAUGGGUAGCUGGUCUGAGAGGAUGAUCAGUCACACUGGAACUGGAACACGGUCCAGACUCCUACGGGAGGCAGCAGUGGGGAAUUUUGCGCAAUGGGGGAAACCCUGACGCAGCAACGCCGCGUGAGUGAUGAAGGAUUUCGGUUCGUAAAGCUCUGUCAAGUGGGAAGAAGUUAUCAUAAGUUAAUAGCUUAUGGUAUUGACGUACCACUGAAGAAGCACCGCUAACU